CCCUUAGAUGUUCUGGGCCGCACACGCGCUACACUGAAUAGAUCAGCGUGUCACCCUUCCCGAAAGGGACGGGUAAACGCUUGAACCCUAUUCGUGGUAGGGAUCGGGGCUUGCAAUUGUUCCCCGUGAACCAGGAAUUCCCAGUAGGCGCAAGUCAUAAGCUUGCGUCGAUUACGUCCCUGCCCUUUGUACACACCGCCCGUCGCUACUACCGAUUGAACAUUUUAGUGAGGUCCUCGGACUGUGAGCCUGGCGGGUCGCCCUGCCUGGUCUACGGGAAGACGACCAAACUGUAGUGUUUAGAGGAAGUAAAAGUCGUAACA
rnacentral:rRNA from 1 species